CGCGUAAGAAUCUACCUUUAGGAGGGGGAUAACAGUUGGAAACGACUGCUAAUUCCCCAUAUGCUGAGGAGUGAAAUGGUGAAUAACCGCCUAGAGAUGAGCUUGCGUCUGAUUAGCUAGUUGGUAAGGUAAUGGCUUACCAAGGCGAUGAUCAGUAGCUGGUCUGAGAGGAUGAUCAGCCACACUGGGACUGAGACACGGCCCAGACUCCUACGGGAGGCAGCAGUGAGGAAUUUUCCGCAAUGGGCGAAAGCCUGACGGAGCAAUACCGCGUGGAGGAUGACGGCCUGUGGGUCUUAA
rnacentral:rRNA from 1 species